rnacentral:rRNA from 1 species
CCCUUAGAUGUCCCGGGCCGCACGCGUGCUACACUGACGCCUACAGCGAGUACUUCCCAGCCCCGAGAGGUGGCUGGUAAUCAGCAAUAGGCGUCGUGAUGGGGAUAGAUCUUUGGAAUUAUGGAUCUUGAACGAGGAAUGCCUAGUAAGCGCAGGUCAUUAGCCUGCGCUGAUUAAGUCCCUGCCCUUUGUACACACCGCCCGUCGCUCCUACCGAUUUCGAGUGGUCCGGUGAAUCUUUCGGACUGCGCGCGGCCUCGUGCCGUGUCGCGGAAAGUCAGGUAAACCUUAUCACUUAGAGGAAGGAGAAGUCGUAACA